rnacentral:lncRNA from 1 species
UCACCUGAGUCCGGAUUUUUAUCCGAUGUAUCCUUUGUGGAUUGUUUUGCUGUAUUGGCAUAUUCCCCAAUACAUGUAUCUUUGCGUCAGCUCGAGUCUUUCCAUCGAUUUAUUUUCAUGGAAUCCCUUCGUGUCUCCAUGCAAGUCUUAAGUCGUGAUCUGCUCACGCACUUUACCCUUAUUUCUCCCUAGAGUCUCUGUCUCCCUAGUGAGCGUAUUACUCCUAUGGAUUUUCAGUCUCUCCUGAUUUCUUUU